UUUAAAAAAAAAAUUAGUUUUGGUGAAGAUAUAAGUAUUAAAUCUAAUUGGUGACAUUGGGGUUGUUUUCCUUUACAAUUAUUAGUAAAGUUAUUGUUACAUAGUAUAUUAUUAAGAGAUACUCUUAGGAACAUCUUGUUUAAAUUUAUUCAUUAGUGACGUUAUUGUUAUUAUUUUUCUUCACAGUUGAAUACUCUACUGCCCUUUUUAAACUUUAAAAACUUAGAGUUUAAAAUUUAGAAUGGCAAAUAUGGAAGAAGCUAAUAGUAUUAAGCCUGAAAAAUUUAGUGGACAAAAUUUUCGUAGAUGGCAAAGACAACUUAAAUAUUGGUUGACUGUGUUAGGACUUGUAUCUGCAAUAGAGGAACCAC
rnacentral:lncRNA from 1 species